rnacentral:misc_RNA from 1 species
CCGGAGGGCUAGGCAGACUCCAAACCCUUGUGAACAUACCACGUUUGCCUCGGGCGAUCCCUGCCGCUCCGUACGGGAGCGCCCCCAGGAGGAUCUCCUAACACUGCAUUUCUAUAUGUACUUCGGAGUACCAGAAAUGAAAUCA